rnacentral:tRNA from 1 species
GGUUAUUUAGUUUAAGUAAAAUGUAGGUUUUGUAAUCCUAUGAUAACGUUUGUUGAUAACCU